GCAUGAGCUAGAGGAUCUGUAGGUGAAAUUCUUUAGAACUUGUAAACUACAGAUCUGAUCAGCUCAAAGGCCAAUACACGCCAGCUUGAUCUAGGAGUAUGUGUAUUGGUUAUGUCUCCAUUGCUCAGCAUUGCAUGUAUGGAGUGCAAAAAUAGAUAGAGCAAAGAUUCACCAUCAUGCAUCCUUAGUAGUUAUAACUCUAGGGUCUUCAUUGUAAAUUUAGGGAGCAUGGAGAAGGCAAAACCCAGAGAGGGUGAGUUCACUGUAUGGGCAAGGAUGGGGAGAAUGGAGCUUAUCAAGAA
rnacentral:lncRNA from 1 species